UACAGAGGUCCCAAGCGUUGUUCGGAUUCAUUGGGCGUAAAGGGCGUGUAGGUGGCGCCGUAAGUCGGGUGUGAAAUUUCGGAGCUUAACUCCGAAACUGCAUUCGAUACUGCGGUGCUUGAGGACUGGAGAGGAGACUGGAAUUCAUGGUGUAGCAGUGAAAUGCGUAGAGAUCAUGAGGAAGACCAGUGGCGAAGGCGGGUCUCUGGGCCGAUACUGACGCUGAGGAGCGAAAGCGUGGGGAGCGAACAGG
rnacentral:rRNA from 1 species